CCUACGGGAGGCAGCAGUGAGGAAUAUUGGUCAAUGGACGCAAGUCUGAACCAGCCAUGUCGCGUGCAGGAAGACGGCUCUAUGAGUUGUAAACUGCUUUUGUACGAGGAUAAACGCAGAUACGCGUAUCUGUCUGAAAGUAUCUUACGAAUAAGGAUCGGCUAACUCCGUGCCAGCAGCCGCGGUAAUACGGAGGAUUCAAGCGUUAUCCGGAUUUAUUGGGUUUAAAGGGUGCGUAGGCGGUCGGAUAAGUUAGAGGUGAAAGCCCGAGGCUCAACUUCGGAAUUGCCUCUGAUACUGUUCGGCUAGAGAGUAGUGGCGGUAGGCGGAAUGUAUGGUGUAGCGGUGAAAUGCUUAGAGAUCAUACAGAACACCGAUUGCGAAGGCAGCUUACCAAGCUACUUCUGACGUUGAGGCACGAAAGCGUGGGGAGCAAACAGGAUUAGAUACCCCGGUAGUC
rnacentral:rRNA from 1 species